UGUACUUUACUCUCAAGCUUUCAAUCGAGCUUAUCAUCUCCUUGCUAACCGAUGGACGCUGCGAUUAUAAAUCUCCAAGCUCCCAGCAAUGAACAACACAACCUCAACGAAAUAAUAUUGUUUUCGUAUGGCUCAUUGAGAGGCUUCCCGACAAUGUCAGGUGGUUCUAAGACGACGGAUCUGUUCUUAUAUGUUUGAGAUCCUCUUAACUUGCUCAAAAAUUGCUUCCCCUAGAGCUUUGGUUUCUAUGACGAAUGUUUGAGGAAGUACGGGAAUGCAAAUGUCUGGGAGUAUUUCACUGAAGUUUUUGAUUAUCUUCCUCUUAUUGUCCUCAUGGAGAGUCAGGUAUGAGCUCUUCUUCAAGCUGGUAUUUUAGACGUAAUUCUUAAUAGCACCAUUUGACCAUCAUUUUUUUUUUAUCAUUUACAUGUUUUCUGUUUGCAUGGAUUACAUUUUUCACAUAUUCUUGUGGUGAUGGGAAGACAGAGAGCAAAAAGAUGCUCAUUCAGUUGCCUACAUUGGGAUAAUUGUCAAGAGCGAAGGACGAACGUACAAACCAUGGAGCAACAAGUAUGAGUAAUUGAUAGGUUUCAAAAAAAAAAGAUAGGUUUCAGUUCGCAGGAAGAACAGAGCAACGAGGAUGAUGGAGGCUUGGGGGAGAAGAAACAUACGAGACAAGGUUGGUCAACGUGGAUAGAAAAGACUCUGAGUGGAAAAGUCUUUGCUAAUUCUUAACUGCCAUAUAAAUAAGACGCCUAGAUUCUCAUUUUUGUAAACGUUUCGGAGUGCGAUUUGAAUAAGAUCUUUAGCUUCUUAAUACUUA